CCUACGGGUGGCAGCAGUGAGGAAUAUUGGUCAAUGGGCGCGAGCCUGAACCAGCCAAGUCGCGUGAGGGAUGACGGCCCUACGGGUUGUAAACCUCUUUUGCCGGGGAGCAACGGGCGCCACGUGUGGCGCCACUGAGGGUACCCGGAGAAAAAGCAUCGGCUAACUCCGUGCCAGCAGCCGCGGUAAUACGGAGGAUGCGAGCGUUAUCCGGAUUCAUUGGGUUUAAAGGGUGCGCAGGCGGGCCUUUAAGCCGGCGGUGAAAUCGCGGGGCUCAACCCCGCCGAGCCGUCGGAACUGGGGGCCUUGAGUGCGGCGGAGGCAUGCGGAAUGCGCGGUGUAGCGGUGAAAUGCAUAGAUAUCGCGCAGAACCCCGAUUGCGAAGGCAGCGUGCCGUGCCGCCACUGACGCUGAGGCACGAAAGCGCGGGGAUCGAACAGGAUUAGAUACCCUUGUAGUC
rnacentral:rRNA from 1 species